rnacentral:rRNA from 1 species
GUGGGGAAUAUUGCACAAUGGGGGAAACCCUGAUGCAGCAACGCCGCGUGAAGGAAGACGGUUUUCGGAUUGUAAACUUCUUUUCUUAGUGAAGAAGAAAGUGACGGUAGCUAAGGAAUAAGCAUCGGCUAACUACGUGCCAGCAGCCGCGGUAAUACGUAGGAUGCGAGCGUUAUCCGGAAUUACUGGGUGUAAAGGGAGCGCAGGCGGGACUGCAAGUUGGAUGUGAAAUGCCGCAGCUUAACUGCGGAGCUGCAUCCAAAACUGUAGUUCUUGAGUGGAGUAGAGGCAAGCGGAAUUCCGAGUGUAGCGGUGAAAUGCGUAGAUAUUCGGAGGAACACCAGUGGCGAAGGCGGCUUGCUGGGCUCUAACUGACGCUGAGGCUCGAAAGUGUGGGGAGCAAACAGG